GGUUGAUCCUGCCAGUAGUCAUAUGCUUGUCUCAAAGAUUAAGCCAUGCAUGUCUAAGUAUAAGCUUUUAUACGGUGAAACUGCGAAUGGCUCAUUAAAACAGUUAUAGUUUAUUUGAUGGUCUCUUUUACAUGGAUAACCAUGGUAAUUCUAUGGCUAAUACAUGCGCAAUCGCCUCCUUCUUUGGAGGGGCUGUGUUUAUUAGAUACAAAACCAACCCACAUUUUUGUGGAGUCGUGGUGAUUCAUAGUAACCGAACGGAUCGCAGUUGGCUUUUGCCCGCGAUGGAUCUU
rnacentral:rRNA from 1 species